UAGUCAUAUGCUUGUCUCAAAGAUUAAGCCAUGCAUGUCUAAGUAUAAGCAUUUAUACGGCGAAACUGCGAAUGGCUCAUUAAAUCAGUAAUAGUUUAAUUGAUAGUACCUUACUACUUGGAUAACCGUGGUAAUUCUAGAGCUAAUACAUGCAUAAAAUCCCGACUUCUGGAAGGGAUGUAUUUAUUAGAUUAAAAACCAAUCCGGGGCAACUCGGUUUUAAGGUGAUUCAUAAUAACUUUGCGAAUCGUAUGGCUUUAUGCCGACGAUGAUUCAUU
rnacentral:rRNA from 1 species